UACUCCUAGGGUGUUUGUUCACAGUGCUGCAGUUAAAAAGUUCAUAGUCGGACCUAUGAAUGGGACGACAUUAUAGACGCAAGUCUGUGAUAUUGUCCUGUUCUUUCGGGGAAGUUCUUUGGGUGUGAUGUUUUAACUAACUUUGCCCCAAGCGUCGCCCGUUUACUGUGAAAAAAUGAGAGUGUUUAAAGCGGGUGAAACGCCGUGAAUACCAUAGCAUGGAAUAAUAGAAUACAGCCGUGGCACCUAUUUUGUUGGUUUCGAGGAGCCGGGUAAUGAUUAAGAGGGACGGUUGGGGGCAUUCAUAUUGUGCCGUCAGAGGUGAAAUUCUUAGAUUGGCAUAAGAUGAACAGCUGCAAAAGCGUCUGUCAAGAACUUUUUCA
rnacentral:rRNA from 1 species